GCCUGGCUGGCUCAGUUGGUAGAGCAUGUGACUCUCAAUCUCAGGGGCGUGAGUUCAGGCCCCAUUUUGGGCA